rnacentral:ncRNA from 1 species
UCCUGACUGAUUGUUCCAUGUGGAACAUCAGACACUAGCCAAGACAGGAGAACCUCAUG